UACGUGGGGGGCUAGCGUUGUCCGGAAUCAUUGGGCGUAAAGCGCGUGUAGGCGGUUCGGUAAGUCCGCUGUGAAAGUCGGGGGCUCAACCCUCGAAUGCCGGUGGAUACUGUCGGACUAGAGUACGGAAGAGGCGAGUGGAAUUCCUGGUGUAGCGGUGAAAUGCGCAGAUAUCAGGAGGAACACCAAUUGCGAAGGCAGCUCGCUGGGACGUUACUGACGCUGAGACGCGAAAGCGUGGGGAGCAAACAGG
rnacentral:rRNA from 1 species